UCCCUUUUCAUAGGUUGCCACUGGUGAAUAUGACCUUGAGAAAGAAUCAAACUGGCAUCCUUCUGAUAGGAUGAUGCUCAACCAGCCAUGUCAUCUGGAUACAACCAGUCCUUUUUGCGAAAACCCGAACUGCGAGACUUAUUCUCAGAAAUAAGACUGG